rnacentral:rRNA from 1 species
UGGGGAAUUUUGGACAAUGGGCGAAAGCCUGAUCCAGCAAUGCCGCGUGUGUGAAGAAGGCCUUCGGGUUGUAAAGCACUUUUGUCCGGAAAGAAAUCCUUGGCUCUAAUACAGUCAGGGGAUGACGGUACCGGAAGAAUAAGCACCGGCUAACUACGUGCCAGCAGCCGCGGUAAUACGUAGGGUGCAAGCGUUAAUCGGAAUUACUGGGCGUAAAGCGUGCGCAGGCGGUUUGCUAAGACCGAUGUGAAAUCCCCGGGCUCAACCUGGGAACUGCAUUGGUGACUGGCAGGCUAGAGUAUGGCAGAGGGGGGUAGAAUUCCACGUGUAGCAGUGAGAUGCGUAGAGAUGUGGAGGAAUACCGAUGGCGAAGGCAGCCCCCUGGGCCAAUACUGACGCUCAUGCACGAAAGCGUGGGGAGCAAACAGGAUUAGAUACCCUGGUAGUCCACGCCCUAAACGAUGUCAACUAGUUGUUGGGGAUUCAUUUCCUUAGUAACGUAGCUAACGCGUGAAGUUGACCGCCUGGGGAGUACGGUCGCAAGAUUAAAACUCAAAUGAAUUGACGGGGUCAUAGCUGUUUCCU